rnacentral:rRNA from 1 species
UACGAAGGGGGCUAGCGUUGUUCGGAUUUACUGGGCGUAAAGCGCACGUAGGCGGACCUUUAAGUCAGAGGUGAAAUCCCAAGGCUCAACCUUGGAACUGCCUUUGAUACUGGGGAUCUUGAGUCCGGGAGAGGUGAGUGGAACUGCGAGUGUAGAGGUGAAAUUCGUAGAUAUUCGCAAGAACACCAGUGGCGAAGGCGGCUCACUGGCCCGGUACUGACGCUGAGGUGCGAAAGCGUGGGGAGCAAACAGG